GACAGAGGGUGCAAACGUUGCUCGGAAUUACUGGGCGUAAAGCGCGUGUAGGCGGUUCCGCAAGUCAGGUGUGAAAGCCCAGGGCUCAACCCUGGAAGUGCACUUGAUACUACGGAGCUUGAGUACUGAAGAGGAGAGCGGAAUUCCUGGUGUAGCGGUGAAAUGCGCAGAUAUCAGGAGGAACACCGAUGGCGAAAGGCAGUGUUCUGGGCCAGUACUGACGUGAGGAGCGAAAGCGUGGGGAGCAAACAGG
rnacentral:rRNA from 1 species